rnacentral:rRNA from 1 species
AGCGGCAGGCUUAACACAUGCAAGGUCGAGGGGCAGCACGGGUAGCAAUACCUGGUGGCGACCGGCGCAAGGGUGCGUAACGCGUGAGCAACAUGCCCUAUACAGGGGGAUAAUCCAGGGAAACUUGGUCUAAUAUCCCAUAGUAUUUAGAGGAGGCAUCUUCUAUAAAUUAAAGCUUCGGUGGUAUAGGAUUGGCUCGCGUGACAUUAGCUAGAUGGUGAGGUAACGGCUCACCAUGGCAAUGAUGUCUAGGGGUUCUGAGAGGAAGGCCCCCCACACUGGGACUGAGACACGGCCCAGACUCCUACGGGAGGCAGCAGUGAGGAAUAUUGGACAAUGGAUGGAAAUCUGAUCCAGCCAUGCCGCGUGCAGGAAGACAGCCCUAUGGGUUGUAAACUGCUUUUAUAUGGGAGCAAUAAGGUCUACGUGUAGACUGAUGAGAGUACCAUAUGAAUAAGCAUCGGCUAACUCCGUG